rnacentral:rRNA from 1 species
AACGAACGCUGGCGGCAUGCCUAACACAUGCAAGUCGAACGAUUGCCUUCGGGUGAUAGUGGCGCACGGGUGCGUAACGCGUGGGAAUCUGCCCUUAGGUUCGGAAUAACAGCUGGAAACGGCUGCUAAUACCGGAUGAUAUCGCGAGAUCAAAGAUUUAUCGCCUGAGGAUGAGCCCGCGUUGGAUUAGGUAGUUGGUGGGGUAAAGGCCUACCAAGCCGACGAUCCAUAGCUGGUCUGAGGGGAUGAUCAGCCACACUGGGACUGAGACACGGCCCAGACUCCUACGGGAUGCAGCAGUGGGGAAUAUUGGACAAUGGGCGCAAGCCUGAUCCAGCAAUGCCGCGUGAGUGAUGAAGGCCCUAGGGUUGUAAAGCUCUUUUACCCGGGAAGAUAAUGACUGUACCGGGAGAAUAAGCCCCGGCUAACUCCGUG